GAUGAACGCUGGCGGCAUGCUUUACACAUGCAAGUCGAACGGCAGCGCGGGGGCAACCCUGGCGGCGAGUGGCGAACGGGUGAGUAAUGUAUCGGAACGUAUCCUGUAAUGGGGGAUAACCAGUCGAAAGAUUGGGUAAUACCGCAUACGCACGAGAGUGGAAAGUAGGGGAUCGCAAGACCUUACGUUAUAGGAGCGGCCGAUAUCUGAUUAGCUAGUUGGUGGGGUAAAGGCCUACCAAGGCGACGAUCAGUAGCUGGUCUGAGAGGACGACCAGCCACACUGGGACUGAGACACGGCCCAGACUCCUACGGGAGGCAGCAGUGGGGAAUUUUGGACAAUGGGCGAAAGCCUGAUCCAGCCAUGCCGCGUGCAGGAAGAAGGCCUUCGGGUUGUAAACCUCUUUUAGCAAGGAAGAAGCGAAAGUGACGGUACUUGCAGAAAAAGCGCCGGCUAACUACGUG
rnacentral:rRNA from 1 species